CCAAAUCCAGGGAAUGGUCACCCACAGCUCCCAAAUCCUGGGAAUUGUCACCAAAUCCAAGGAAUGGUCACCAAUGGCUCCCAAAUCCAAGGAAUGGCCACCAAAUCCAGGGAAUGGUGACCCCGGCCGUACCUGAGAGGUCCCCGGUGACGGACGAGGUCCCGAAGUAGUACCCGCGGGGCAGGCGCACGCCCGGAACGUCGAUGCAAUCCCGCCACUCGUGUUUGCCGUCAAUGUCG